AUUGAACGCUGGCGGCAUGCUUUACACAUGCAAGUCGAGCGGCAGCGCGGGGGCAACCCUGGCGGCGAGCGGCGAACGGGUGAGGAAUACAUCGGAACGUACCCCGGAGUGGGGGAUAACGCCGCGAAAGCGGCGCUAAUACCGCAUAUGCUCUGAGGAGGAAAGUGGGGGACCUGCAAGGGCCUCACGCUCUGGGAGCGGCCGAUGUCCGAUUAGCUAGUUGGUGGGGUAAAGGCCCACCAAGGCGACGAUCGGUAGCUGGUCUGAGAGGAUGAUCAGCCACACUGGGACUGAGACACGGCCCAGACUCCUACGGGAGGCAGCAGUGGGGAAUUUUGGACAAUGGGGGCAACCCUGAUCCAGCCAUGCCGCGUGCGGGAAGAA
rnacentral:rRNA from 1 species